rnacentral:rRNA from 1 species
GAAUAUUGGACAAUGGGCGAAAGCCUGAUCCAGCAAUGCCGCGUGAGUGAUGAAGGCCUUAGGGUUGUAAAGCCCUUUCACCGGGGACGAUGAUGACGGUACCCGGAGAAGAAGCACCGGCUAACUCCGUGCCAGCAGCCGCGGUAAGACGGAGGGUGCUAGCGUUGUUCGGAAUCACUGGGCGUAAAGGGCGCGUAGGCGGCGUCGCAAGUCGGCUGUGAAAGCCCGGGGCUCAACCCCGGAGGUGCAGCCGAGACUGCGGUGCUCGAGGCCGGAAGAGGAGGGUGGAAUACCCAGUGUAGAGGUGAAAUUCGUAGAUAUUGGGUGGAACACCGGUGGCGAAAGCGGCUCUCUGGUCCGGUCCUGACGCUGAGGCGCGGAAGCGUGGGGAGCAAACAGG